UGAAUUGCGAAAAGUAAUGUGACUUGCAUACAUCUGUGAAUCAUCGAAUCUUUGAACGCACAUGGCACCGUUAGGUUCUGCCUAACGGUAUACUUGUUUGAGAAUCGUAUUAUCAUUUCGUUCCCCGCUCUGCGGAGAACGGUAUUGAGGCCUUAAAGCGGUACCAAGUUCGGUACCGGUUUGGUCUUUAAAAGCAUGGCUUUACGAGUCCGUGGCCAAUGCGGUCGUCGUGGGCACUGUGUGGUAAGGUGUGCAUAACGCCAAUAGCACUUUGUCCCUGGCGGUCGCACAUGCGACUCCAAGCCCUUUAUCAAUCGAGCCUUCACGGGCCUGAUUCGCAAGGUGCAGCAUUGCUCGUCAAUGCUGCAAGCCUUGGUUUACCGAUCUCAAAUCAAGCAAG
rnacentral:misc_RNA from 1 species